rnacentral:rRNA from 1 species
AAUAUUGGACAAUGGGCGAAAGCCUGAUCCAGCCAUCGCGCGUGUAUGAUGAAGGCCUUUGGGUUGUCUAGUACUUUUGGCAGAGAAGAAAAGGUAUCUCCUAAUACGAGAUACUGCUGACGGUAUCUGCAGAAUAAGCUCCGGCCUACCACGUUCCAGCAGCCGCAGUAAUACGUAGGGUGCAAACGUUAAUCGGAAUUACUUGGCGUAAAGUGAAUGUGAGCGGUUCGGAAAGAAAGAUGUGAAAGCCCAGGGCUCAACCUAGGAACUGCAUUUUUAACGGCAAGGCUAGAGUGUGUCAGAGGUGGUAGAAGUCCACGUGUAGCAGUGAAAGGCGUAGAUAUGUGGAGGAAUACCGAUGGCGAAGGCAGACCCAUGGGAUAAUACUGACGCUCAGACACGAAAGCGUAGGGAGCAAACAG